rnacentral:rRNA from 1 species
GAUGAACGCUGGCGGCGUGCCUAACACAUGCAAGUCGAGCGGCAGCGAGGGGUGCUUGCACCCUGUCGGCGAGCGGCGGACGGCUGAGUAACGCGUGGGAACGUGCCCCAAAGUGCGGAAUAACUGCCCGAAAGGGUAGCUAAUACCGCAUAUUAUCUUCGGAUCAAAGGAUUUAUCCGCUUUGGGAGCGGCUCGCGUCGGAUUAGGUAGUUGGUGAGGUAAUGGCUCACCAAGCCGACGAUCCGUAGCUGGUCUGAGAGGAUGACCAGCCAGACUGGAACUGAGACACGGUCCAGACUCCUACGGGAGGCAGCAGUGAGGAAUCGUCCACAAUGGGCGAAAGCCUGAUGGAGCAACGCCGCGUGCAGGACGAAGGCCUUCGGGUUGUAAACUGCUUUUAUAAGUGAGGAAUAUGACGGUAACUUAUGAAUAAGGAUCGGCUAACUACGUG